rnacentral:rRNA from 1 species
UACGUAGGGUGCGAGCGUUGUCCGGAAUUAUUGGGCGUAAAGAGCUCGUAGGCGGUGUGUCACGUCGUUCGUGAAAACCUGCAGCUUAACUGUGGCGUGCGGUCGAUACGGGCAUCACUGGAGUUCGGCAGGGGAGACUGGAAUUCCUGGUGUAGCGGUGAAAUGCGCAGAUAUCAGGAGGAACACCGGUGGCGAAGGCGGAUCUCUGGGCCGAUACUGACGCUGAGGAGCGAAAGCGUGGGGAGCGAACAGG